AUGCAGCCGCCCCUCGCUUCUCACCCGCGUAGCGCAGCCGUCCCGCGCCGCCCGCGGCCUGGGGCACCGCCGCCCGCUCCGGCCGCGGCUCCUGGGCUGCCGGCCCCGCCGCAGCCGCUUCCCGUCACGUGGGCCGCCGCCCGGCGCCGGCGGAGGGCGGGCGCUCGCCGGUGCCCAGGCCGCCGCGCGCCGCUGGGAGGCUCCGCGUCAGGGCCCGGGGGUCGGGAAGGCGGGCGAGCGCGCGCUGGCGAGUGCGCAGGCGGCGCAGACCGGGACCGCAGCCCUCGGGAGGGGAGCGUCUCCGCCGCCCGCCUGGGAAGCGCGAAGGAAGCGCCGCCUUGUCUUCUCGACCGUCCACUCCAUGUUGGCUACUGCACAGCUGCGUUGGUCAGGUGGAAGCUCGGAGAAACGCCUCCCGGACCGACCAGUAGACGGACUCACAGCCGGGCCCCGACUUGCGGGCAGGGGAUGCUUGCUGGACUUCAGUGUGCCAAAGGGGGUCGGGGGAACGGCCCUCCGGUUCCUAGGCCUACUGCUAGUCCUGGCAGAAGGAAAGCUAGUCCCGGAGGGGAGGUGCAUAUGUGCAGGCUAUCCCUUCUGCGCUGGGAGUCCCAGGGCAGUUCCACUCACUUCUUUGAGGGCAGUCCAUCAAUGGCCACUCCCUUGUGUCAAGCCAUAAAGAAGAAUCCUAGAAUCCUCCUUCCUUAUAGAAUCAAAACUCAAGUUUCCCGAUGAAGAGUUAGGAAGCUCUUCCAGAGUCAUCAGUGCUGCCAGUGCACAAAAAAGGCCAGGUUUCUUCAGUUAUUCCCUUUGACUUGAGAAACUGCUAAAGAGGUGGCUUUAGGGUACCCUACCAUCCCGGCCGCUGACCCUGUCCCCAGAGGUUGGAUAAGAGAUACUAUUCUGUAGCUUUGUUUCAAAGGAGGAAGGCGUGUAGGGGUAGGGACCUAGAAAAGCCAGCUAUGAAGGGGACCUCUUCUGAUUAUAGAACCCAAGUUCAGUUCUGUUUUCUACCUUGUCGUAUCCUUACCAGGUACACACCUCAAUUCCCGAAUUUUACUGAGGCAAAAAGACGUAAAUGACUUAUCCUGAAUCUUACACUAGUAAGUGUCAGAGCAAGAACUCGAAAUGUGUUUGUAACAUAAAAUUAAGUCCUAAUGAUUAAAUAGUUUAUGGGACAACUUUUACAUUCCACUCUAGAUGAUCCAGGAGUGGAGAUAAAUACUAUCAAAAACGAGGUAAAUCAAAAACAAUUAUUUUCUUUAUAACGGGGCUUACCACAGAAUUUUUAAAAUAGCAAGCUCUAUUGUUGAAAUAUCUGUUCUUGGGACAUAUUGAUUCAUCUACAUCACAAAUAACAGCCCCCUUUAGGUCAUGCCUAGACUGUGAAACAUGCUUGGGUAUCUUCAUAAGCUAACUAAAUUCUUCACAUUGUUUCUGUUGGAUCCAUUUAAAAACAAAUAUAGUGUCAUGCUUUCCAAAUGAA